rnacentral:rRNA from 1 species
UGGGGGAUAUUGCACAAUGGGCGAAAGCCUGAUGCAGCGACGCCGCGUGGGGGAUGAAGGCUUUCGGGUUGUAAACCUCUUUCGCUAUCAAACAAGGCCCGCUUAGGGUGGGUUGAGGGUAGGUGGAGAAGAAGCGCCGGCUAACUACGUGCCAGCAGCCGCGGUAAUACGUAAGGCGCGAGCGUUGUCCGGAAUUAUUGGGCGUAAAGGGCUUGUAGGCGGCUUGUUGCGCCUGCUGUGAAAACGCGGGGCUUAACUUCGCGCGUGCAGUGGGUACGGGCAGGCUUGAGUGUGGUAGGGGUGACUGGAAUUCCAGGUGUAGCGGUGGAAUGCGCAGAUAUCUGGAGGAACACCGAUGGCGAAGGCAGGUCACUGGGCCAUUACUGACGCUGAGGAGCGAAAGCAUGGGUAGCGAACAGG